AAUGUUGCUUCUUUACUCAUCAAGGAGGAGCAAACCAGAAAUGCCAGCAUUGUUUACCAUGUGACAAACUCCAUGAUCUUAAUGAAGUGUGGCCACACGCUGGUGCAUGGCCAGAUGAAUCACAUUUGUCUUAAAGUUGCAAAAGGGUCUCCCAUAGCUUCGAAACCAUGUAUGUAAAACACAAGAGUCUUCGUUUACAAUGUUCACAUUUGGGUAAAAUAACAACAUGGGAAUUGAAGAAUCUGAGUGUGUGCCAUCAGCAGACAUUUCCAACGCUGGAGAGGGACAGCCAUUCCUUCUGUCCAGCUUGUCAGCCCCACUGUCCUUCUGUCUGCUUCGAAGAGCUGAAACCUACGUCAUCAUGGUUAAUGUUUUGACAGAUUUUAUCGUAAACCUUGCUGUUGUAAAUUCCCUUUGAGCCAAAAUUUAACAUGUUAAAUGCUCACAAAUGACUUCGACUGUUUGUGAUCCAGAAAAGGAAAUAAUCGGAUGUGCUAUUUUAAAUCAUAGGAGUGGACAGUUUAACUCUUUCAGUGUUACAGAUCAAGUUUUGGAAAAAUUCUCCUUUGCUAAAGGCCUCUACAUUACCACCAGAACCAUAUGUACACCUAUUUGUGAGUAGGGCAUUAGAAAAGAUACCAAAGAGAACAUUAUAUGAUUUAUGUGUUCUCGGUAAAAUUUAUAAUCAAAAUAAUUCCUUUUUAAGUUCAAAUGUAACACCUCCAAAAUAUGAUCCACUUAAAAACUCUGGAGCAAACCCCUUCUUUACAGGUAGCUUCUCAGGGGGAGACCUCCAUGAUGACUUUUAUCUGUUCUGACCACUCAGGGCAUUUUAAAAACGUGAUUGCAGUCAUUGCUAUCUCUAGGAGACUGCCGAUCAAGAUUCAGCUCUCCCUCUAAAGCAUCUUCAAUGACCAUGACCAUUAAUAUUUACCUAUAAAUGCGUUUGUACACAGGCUCCACUGUAGCACAGUAGUGAUGACAAAAAGGAGUUUGUUACUCAGUUCUUUACCCUAGAAUACCUCAAAUCAACAAAUAUUUAUUGAAUGUCUACUGUGUGCAAAUAACCCUGGGAUGGGCAGGUUUUAAAAGCCACCCAACUUUUCAAAUUGGCAAGUCAAAGCAUUAUUUUUUUUCAAGCAUUGCAGAAGCCACUUUUGUGUCCUUAAGGACAAAGUGUACGAGGACGGCAAAGAAGAGAAGAUUAAUUCACAGCAUGAAAACAGGAGAGAGGACACCCUAAAAUAGCAUCGGUGGACUGCAUUGUGUGUUAUGUAUGUAUGUGUGUAUGUGAUCGUGUGCACGAGACUAUGUCAUGUAUGUAUGCAUACAUGUCCGUAUACAUAUCUAUGUAUUCAUUCCAGAAAACUGUGAGUGUAUUUGAGAGAAACAGCCUGUGAUACAGUGACAUGAAAAUAGAUAUUAACAUUUGAAUAUAUUAAUAUAUAAAUGAUGAUGUAUAAUAUUAAUAUUUAAAUCCAGGGAUUUGCUUUUAAAAUAGGCUUUUACAGCUUGAUUAGGGUUAAGUCCUAUGAUGCCAACCAUCAAACCAAAAUUGUUAUUGUAUUACAGAGCAAAUAUCCAACCUAAGUCUGCUGUUGUACAGGCCAGCUUACCCUAAAGUCUGCCAUGGCGUGACCCCUAGUCAAAGGCUUGCCUUCUACAUUGUUACCGCACAAGUUUCUGAAGAAGGGUUAAUAAGAAAAUUGCAUCAUAGUAAAAUAAGCUACCUUGGAGCUAAAUUUAAAGGUUGUCAUGAGAAAGUAAAUAUAAAACUACCAGUAAGAAG
rnacentral:sRNA from 1 species